rnacentral:rRNA from 1 species
AUUGAACGCUGGCGGCAUGCCUUACACAUGCAAGUCGAACGGCAGCACGGGUGCUUGCACCUGGUGGCGAGUGGCGAACGGGUGAGUAAUACAUCGGAACAUGUCCUGUAGUGGGGGAUAGCCCGGCGAAAGCCGGAUUAAUACCGCAUACGAUCUACGGGUGAAAGCGGGGGACCUUCGGGCCUCGCGCUAUAGGGUUGGCCGAUGGCUGAUUAGCUAGUUGGUGGGGUAAAGGCCUACCAAGGCGACGAUCAGUAGCUGGUCUGAGAGGACGACCAGCCACACUGGGACUGAGACACGGCCCAGACUCCUACGGGAGGCAGCAGUGGGGAAUUUUGGACAAUGGGCGAAAGCCUGAUCCAGCAAUGCCGCGUGUGUGAAGAAGGCCUUCGGGUUGUAAAGCAGUUUUGUCCGGAAAGAAAUCCUUGGCCCUAAUACGGUCGGGGGAUGACGGUACCGGAAGAAUAAGCACCGGCUAACUACGUG